CCUGGCGGCACUAGCGCGGUGGUCCCACCUGACCCCAUGCCGAACUCAGAAGUGAAACGCCGUAGCGCCGAUGGUAGUGUGGUGUCUCCCCAUGCGAGAGUAGGGAACUGCCAGGC
rnacentral:rRNA from 2 species